rnacentral:rRNA from 1 species
GUAGGGGAUAUUGGGAAUGGGCGGAAGCCUGACCCAGCAACGCCGCGUGAACGAUGAAGGCCUUCGGGUUGUAAAGUUCUUUUGACUGGGAAGAGAGAGGACGGUACCAGUCGAAUAAGUCUCGGCUAACUACGUGCCAGCAGCCGCGGUAACACGUAGGAGACGAGCGUUAUCCGGAAUUACUGGGUGUAAAGCGCGUGCAGGCGGCAUGGCAAGAUGGAUGUAAAAGCCCCCGGCUUAACUGGGGGAGGUCGUCCGUGACUGCCAGGCUAGAGGGUAGUAGAGGUAGGCGGAAUUCCGAGUGUAGCGGUAAAAUGCAUAGAUAUUCGGAAGAACACCAGUGGCGAAGGCGGCCUUCUGGACUACAACUGACGCUCAGACGCGAAAGCCAGGGUAGCAAACGGGAUUAGAUACCCUUGUAGUCC